rfam:Streptomyces acidiscabies strain NCPPB 4445 genomic scaffold scf_64481_153.1, whole genome shotgun sequence.
CUGACAGGCGACCGUCUGCUCAGAUACUGACCCCGGUACCUCGUACGGCCGGGGCAG